CUUCAGACGCCCACAUAGGACAACCAUGGAAGACAAUUAUCCUUGACUGUCUUUGAAUGGAAAAAAAACAAUCAGAGAAUGGAAAAAAAAAUCAGAAGCAUGGGUCAAUUCUGGCAUUAUCCAGAGAAUGCCACUGAUGUUCAAGUCAUCAAGGACCUCUCCUGUCUAAGUGUUGGAGGAUGCGACCUUAAAAGUUUUUCAUUGAAAGAAAGACCUGAAAACUGAAAUUCUCCCUAACUAUUAAUAAAGAAUUGAUUUUUUUCCCUAA